rnacentral:rRNA from 1 species
AUACCGUGAAACUGCGAAUGGCUCAUUAAAUCAGUUAUCGUUUAUUUGAUAGUACCUUACUACUUGGAUAACCGUGGUAAUUCUAGAGCUAAUACAUGCUGAAAACCCCAACUUCGGGAGGGGUGUAUUUAUUAGAUAAAAAACCAACGCCCUUCGGGGCUUCUUGGUGAUUCAUGAUAACUUAACGGAUCGCAUGGCCUUGCGCCGGCGACGGUUCAUUCAAAUUUCUGCCCUAUCAACUUUCGAUGGUAAGGUAUUGGCUUACCAUGGUUUCAACGGGUAACGGGGAAUUAGGGUUCGAUUCCGGAGAGGGAGCCUGAGAAACGGCUACCACAUCCAAGGAAGGCAGCAGGCGCGCAAAUUACCCAAUCCCGACACGGGGAGGUAGUGACAAUAAAUACUGAUACAGGGCUCUUUUGGGUCUUGUAAUUGGAAUGAGUACAAUUUAAACCUCUUAACGAGGAACAAUUGGAGGGCAAGUCUGGUGCCAGCAGCCGCGGUAAUUCCAGCUCCAAUAGCGUAUAUUAAAGUUGUUGCAGUUAAAAAGCUCGUAGUUGAACCUUGGGUCUGGCUGGCAGGUCCGCCUCACCGCGUGUACUUGUCCGGCCGGGCCUUCCUUCUGGAGAACCUCAUGCCCUUCACUGGGCGUGUUGGGGACCAGGACUUUUACUUUGAAAAAAUUAGAGUGUUCAAAGCAGGCCUUUGCUCGAAUACGUUAGCAUGGAAUAAUAAAAUAGGACGUGCGGUCCUAUUUUGUUGGUUUCUAGGACCGCCGUAAUGAUUAAUAGGGACAGUCGGGGGCAUCAGUAUUCAAUUGUCAGAGGUGAAAUUCUUGGAUUUAUUGAAGACUAACUCCUGCGAAAGCAUUUGCCAAGGAUGUUUUCAUUAAUCAGUGAACGAAAGUUAGGGGAUCGAAGACGAUCAGAUACCGUCGUAGUCUUAACCGUAAACUAUGCCGACUAGGGAUCGGGCGAUGUUCUUUUUCUGACUCGCUCGGCACCUUACGAGAAAUCAAAG